CGGCUGUUCAGCUAACACUGGGUGGCGUACCCUCACUGCUCAUCUAACACCUGUGCGAAGGUGGCUCGCCACACCCUUCAGGUCCUGUGCUGAAGUUACUGCAGUGGCUGAAGCUAAUUAGCAAACUAGGGCUACUAGUGAUGCUGUUAAGAUAAGAUAAGAUAAGAUAAGAUGACCUUUAUUAGUCCCACAGGUGGGAAAUUUGUUUAAAAAUUACGAGAAGAAAAAAGAUAAGAAGGAAAGAAACUCAGAAUGAGCAGAGCUGCUGUAACAGGCUGCCGCACACGGGGGGCGCCGGAAGCUACACCUGUAAAGGGAAAUCAGCACCUGCAGGACUGGUGAUAUGUUCCCUGUCCACAGGAUACUCAUCCAGGCUUCAUUUACACUGUAGAUGAAAUGAUGGCGUCCCGCUGACUGAUGACUGGCUGCACGCUCUGGGAACAGUUUGGGGAUGGCCACUUCCUGUUCCAACAUGACUGCGCACCGGUGCACAAAACGAGGUCCAUAAAGACAUGGAAGAGCGACUUUUGUGUGGAAGAACUUGACUGGCCUGCACUGAGUCCUGACGUCAAUCCAAAGGAACACCUUUAGGAUGAAUUAGAGUGGAGACUGUGAGACAGGCCUUCUCGUCUAACAUCAGUGUCGGACCUCAUAAAUGUGCUUCUGGAAGAAUGGUAAAAAUUCCCAUAAAUGCACUCCUAAACUUGUGGAAAGCCUUCCCAGAAAAGUUGAAGCUGUUAUAGCUGCAGAGGGUGGGCCAACUUCAUGUUAAAGUUCAAAGUUCAUAUGCGUGUGAAUAGACAGUUUUAUUUAAUAGUGGAUGUUUUCCUAAUCCUCAGUGGCCGAUUUUGUGCGCAGAUGUUAACCAUAGUGUUAAUGUCACAACAUAAACAUUUUCUUGUAUAAUAAAAUUCACAAUAAUUACAGUAAUUUAAAACAGAGGUGGAAAUUACAAAUCAUGCCAAUUUUUAAAAACUGUUCAGUUCAGAGUAAAGUUUAUUAGACGUCUACACGUAAAGAUCAGUCAUUCACAUGCAGUCCAGUUCAGUACACACAGCAGUAGAUUAAGAUAUAUUUAUUCAUCCCACAUCACAACAGCUUCUCACUACAUAUUGCCUACACUGUAUAGACGUUAUGUAAAUCAGUGUACAUCAAUAUUUUUGAUGUCAAAGAAGACUCUAAAUUGGAAAACAUGAGCUUUAUCAAUUAUGAAUAUAAAACUGUAAACAUUUUAUUGCAGCUGAAAUUAAAUAGACUUUUUCAUUAUCUAGCUUUGACUCUAUUGAGAUGUUAUUCCAGAAGAAGUG
ensembl:lncRNA